GACUUGAAAUCUCAAUGAGCCAAGGAAUUGCAAGAGUAGUGGCCAAGUUCUUAUAUAGUAUUCUUUAACCACAAUCAGAAUUGGUUUAGAAUUCAAACUCAAGACAACAUGUAAACAUUACUUUAGCCUAAAGAAGGGGGAGAAAUUGCACUGUACAAAUGAAUAGUGACUUGAGCCGAAUUUUAUUUUAUCUACAAAAGUGCCACUGAGUCUCUCUGCCACUGCUUUAGCGGUUAGGUUAGUUCAUUUUCUGUUGUGUUUGCUAGGCUUACCUCAAUUGUUGAUGAGGCCGGCCCUUUGGGUGUUCAAAUGAUGGGAAUGCUAUGGAAGUUUUAAGUUUGUUUGAAUGUGUUUUUCAUAGAUUAAUUGAAUGUACAAGAGGGGAUACAUAAUAAGGUAGAAGGUUACAAGCAACCCUACCUUGGCAGAUCCUACUAACCCAAUAAACCCUAAAGCUGUCACUCCUUAAAUUAAGAGAGUGCAGCAAGUAGCUAGCACACAACUAUCAACAAGUCAUCUAGAUGUCAAUCUUCCUCAAAUUAAGGGAUUAGGCUUAAUAGAGAAUCUCAUGGGAAGAGGAAAUGUAAAAUCUGGUAGCAUGGCAACAUGGGUGUAUUAGUCAUCCAAUAUCCCAUAUCGUCUAAUAAAUGCCCAUCUAGGGUUAAGAUCGGAUGGCCAAGAUUAAAAGUUUGGAGGGUACUUUUAUCAUCUUAAUU
rnacentral:lncRNA from 1 species